AUUGAACGCUGGCGGCAGGCCUAACACAUGCAAGUCGAGCGGAGCGCCGGACGGGUGCGUGAUGGUUAGGUAUCUGGCUGGUAGUGGGGGAUAAGGUCCGCUAAUGGGCGCUGAUACUGCAUCCUAUCAGUUUAGCAUAGGGCGGAUUAGCUAGUUGGUGGGGUAAAGGCCUACCAAGGCGACGAUCCGUAACUGGUCGGAGAGGAUGAUCAGCCACACUGGAACUGAGACACGGUCCAGACUCCUACGGGAGGCAGCAGUGGGGAAUAUUGGACAAUGGGCGAAAGCCUGAUGCAGCCAUGCCGCGUGUAUGAAGAAGGUCUUCGGAUUGUAAAGCACUUUAAGUUGGGAGGCGUUACCAACAGAAGAAGCACCGGCUAACUCCGUGCCAGCAGCCGCGGUAAUUC
rnacentral:rRNA from 1 species